rnacentral:rRNA from 1 species
UACAUGGGGUGCAAACGUUGCUCGGAAUUAUUGGGCGUAAAGCGCGCGUAGGCGGUUACUUAAGUCGGAUGUGAAAGCCCUCGGCUUAACUGAGGAAGUGCACCCGAAACUGAGUAGCUAGAGUACGAAAGAGGGUCGCGGAAUUCCCGGUGUAGAGGUGAAAUUCGUAGAUAUCGGGAGGAACACCGGUGGCGAAGGCGGCGACCUGGGUCGAGACUGACGCUGAGGCGCGAAAGCGUGGGGAGCGAUCCGG